GCUGCUUUGGUCUAGAGGUAUGAUUCUUGCUUAGGGGGCAAGAGGUCCCAGGUUCGAACCCUGGAAGCAGCC
rnacentral:tRNA from 1 species